UAGGGAAUCUUCGGCAAUGGACGGAAGUCUGACCGAGCAACGCCGCGUGAGUGAAGAAGGUUUUCGGAUCGUAAAGCUCUGUUGUUAGAGAAGAACGUUGGUAGGAGUGGAAAAUCUACCAAGUGACGGUAACUAACCAGAAAGGGACGGCCAACUACGUGCCAGCAGCCGCGGUAAUACGUAGGUCCCGAGCGUUGUCCGGAUUUAUUGGGCGUAAAGCGAGCGCAGGCGGUUCUUUAAGUCUGAAGUUAAAGGCAGUGGCUUAACCAUUGUACGCUUUGGAAACGGGAGGACUUGAGUGCAGAAGGGGAGAGUGGAAUUCCAUGUGUAGCGGUGAAAUGCGUAGAUAUAUGGAGGAACACCGGUGGCGAAGGCGGCUCUCUGGUCUGUAACUGACGCUGAGGCUCGAAAGCGUGGGGAGCAAACAGG
rnacentral:rRNA from 1 species